AUUGAACGCUGGCGGCAGGCUUAACACAUGCAAGUCGAGCGGAGUGAUGGUGCUUGCACUAUCACUUAGCGGCGGACGGGUGAGUAAUGCUUAGGAAUCUGCCUAUUAGUGGGGGACAACAUCUCGAAAGGGAUGCUAAUACCGCAUACGUCAUACGGGAGCAAGCAGGGGAUCACUUGUGACCUUGCGCUAAUAGAUGAGCCUAAGUCGGAUUAGCUAGUUGGUGGGGGAAAGGCCUACCAAGGCGACGAUCUGUAGCGGGUCUGAGAGGAUGAUCCGCCACACUGGGACUGAGACACGGACCAGACUCCUACGGGAGGCAGCAGUGGGGAAUAUUGGACAAUGGGGGGAACCCUGAUCCAGCCAUGCCGCGUGUGUGAAGAAGGCCUUAUGGUUGUAAAGCACUUUAAGCGAGGAGGAGGCUCUUUUGGUUAAUACCCAAGAUGAGUGGACGUUACUCGCAGAAUAAGCACCGGCUAACUCUGUGCCAGCCGCCGCAGUAA
rnacentral:rRNA from 1 species